UGACCAUAUCUAUCCUUAAAACCUCUUCAAGUUACAACGUCAACUAAUUAAACCCUUCAAGUACUUCCAUAAGUUCUCAUUACUAUUAACACAAUCAUUACAAUUAAUCAAGCAUCUCCCUCCUUUUGUGUCCCGAGAGCAAAGAACAUGGCUAAGUUGUGUCUUCAUUCUCUGCUGUUUGCUUGAUCCUCGUAAGUUCACACAUUAACAUAUCAUCCACCGGAACAAGUUAUAAUUAAUGUGCUAACUUGGACUCCACACAAGCCUUCCUUGAUGCUUGGACUGCUGCAUGUGGCUCUACCAAUUCAAACAAUGAUUUGCAUACCUAAAGUAAGGUAUUUGCUUGGCUCAGUUUCCUUUGAAGGUCAUAACUACGUACACAAGUGCUGAUAUUACUUUAAGGAUUGAUGGCACCAGAUUGCUCAUGAGGAUUAUCGCAUACUUGGUCAAGCCAAUGAUUGGCUUAGCUUUGAACGUGCUAAUUAGUGGUGUCUCAAUUGUUGGCGGCGCUCUUGAUGCUAAAGGAUCAUCCUUGUGGGGUUGCAAAGCCAAAGGCAACAAGCUGGAGCUACGGUUAAUCUCAAGCUGGGUUUGAUAACUAUGGUGAUAGUUGCUGCUGAUACUCCAAAUAUAGAUGGAAUCCAUGUCCAAAAAUCUACAUGUUUUGUGAUUGUGAAUUCUUCGACUAAGACGGUGGAUGAUUGUAUCCGAACUUGUGGAUUGAAAGGGUUAUAUGUGGCGUUAGACAUGGUAUUAUUAGGUGGGAAAUAAUGUAAUUAGACCCUGCAAUCCAUUCGAUUAAUUUUCUUAUAUACAUAUUAUA